UCCUGUACUACCGAUAACCGUUUGAGAGAUGGGAUGACACAGUAGGAUAAGCUAAGCACACUGUUGGUUAUGUGUGCCCAAGCAUUGAGGCAGUCAAAGUAGGCAAAUCCGCUUUGAUAAUGCUGGGGUGUGAUGGGGAGCGAAAUUUAGUAGCGAAGUAGCUGAUUUCACACUGUCAAGAAAAGUCUCUAUCGAGGUUAAAGGUACCCGUACCGCAAACCGACACAGGGGGGUGAGGAGAGUAUCCUAAGGCCAGCGAGAGAACUGUUGUUAAGGAACUCGGCAAAAUGACCCCGUAACUUAGGGAUAAGGGGUGCCACCAUCCGGUGGCCGCAGAGAAUAGGC
rnacentral:rRNA from 1 species